AGCAUGUUUAUGGAUUGAUUGCAUGCUACAGUACCAGAUCAUGCUAUCAUACAGAUAGCAAACAUUCCCUAAAUGCUACCUCAUGAGGUCAGUUUUACUGCUGAGGACACAGGGUGGGAGCCAGAGGAUCUCCUGGCAUGACAGUGCAUCAUAGCCUCACGUCCAAUGGUGCACCCAAGUACAUGCUGCAGAGAAGAAUGGCAGGCUCCUUUUGGUAUUCAUUUCUGUGGUGACAGGAGUCAUCCAGACUCUGCACUGCCUGUGCAAAAUCCCUUUGGGAGAGAAGUUAAAGAAUAGAACCACAAUUCAAGUCCACUGUGAUUUGUGCAGUCCACUUCACUCAUGGUAUAGGCUAUAUUUCCUCCCUGUGCUUGACUAAAUCAUCCAGCUCCGGACUGAGCUGUUGAAUAUGCUGAGUUGGAAGGGACUCACAGGAACCACCAGUCCAACUCCUGUCCUGCCAGGACAUCCCAAAAAAUAACACCAGCUCAAGACUGUGACCUCUGGUUCUGUCAGCUGCUGCCUGGAGAAAGAGACCAACCUGCACCUGACUGCAACCACCUUUCAGGAACUUGUAGAGAGUGAUAAGGGCACCUCUGAACUUCCUUUUCUCCAGGCUAAACACCCCCAGCUACCUCAGUCGUUCCUCACAGGGUUUGUGUUCCAAGACUCUCACCAGCCUCAUUGCUCUCCUCUUGACGCUUUCAAGCAACAUAUGCUUUCAGACAGCAUAACUCAUACUAAGCUAAAACAUCCUGACUAAAUAAAAAAUAGAAACAAAACAACACAAACAAAACAAAACAAAACAAACAAACAAAACAAAAACCCAAAUAAAAUCUCCAAAAGCCCCAAUAUGUAUCAAAAGUUUUUUGGGGUUAAAUCUCUUGCAUGUGUUUUUUAAACAGAAUUUUACAUCCUGAGCAUCACACAUGGAAGAUUUUCCCCUAAAGAAGGUCAGACUCUGAAGACAACCAUUCUCCUGUGGAUUAUCUCUCUGUAGUAAAACCUCCAGGGAAUUUAUCUUUGUCUUUCCUUGUGUUUCUAACAUUAAUUAAAGUUUUGCUAAAAUGCUAGACAAAUCUCCCUUGCACAGAUAUUUACACUCAAGCCACCAUU